GUAAACCAGACAUGGAGAGAGGCUUGUUUUAGCGAUCUCUCUUCAGUAGGCAAACCACACAUGGAGAGAGGCUUGUUUUAGCGAUCUCUCUUCAGUAGGUAAACCAGUCAUGGAGAGAGGCUUGUUUUAGCGAUCUCUCUUCAGUAGGUAAACCAGUCAUGGAGAGAGGCUUGUUUUAGCGAUCUCUCUUCAGUAGGUAAACCAGUCAUGGAGAGAGGCUUGUUUUAGCGAUCUCUCUUCAGUAGGUAAACCAGUCAUGGAGAGAGGCUUGUUUUAGCGAUCUCUCUUCAGUAGGUAAACCACACAUGGAGAGAGGCUUGUUUUAGCGAUCUCUCUUCAGUAGGUAAACCACACAUGGAGAGAGGCUUGUUUUAGCGAUCUCUCUUCAGUAGGUAAACCACACAUGGAGAGAGGCUUGUUUUAGCGAUCUCUCUUCAGUAGGUAAACCAGUCAUGGAGAGAGGCUUGUUUUAGCGAUCUCUCUUCAGUAGGUAAACCACACAUGGAGAGAGGCUUGUUUUAGCGAUAUCAUCAUUAAAGAUCCACGUCUCUUUUUCCAUAUUCUGACGUCUAUCAUCACCACAAAUACACUUUCUGGUUCCAGCUGUUCAAUUCUUCUUAGCUAGAUGGUUAGGUUGUGUUUCUUUCAAAUACAUGGUUAGGUUAUGUUUCUUUCAUACACAUGUUGUAGUAUGGUUAAAUGUUGAGGUGGUUGACUGUUGAGGCUGCCGCUCUCUUUAAGAACCCUAUUACUGUAAUGACGAUGAGCUGUCAAUGAAACAUGUAAUUAUGGAGUCACCUUUACAUGUUAAAACAUGUCCUCUGGUUUGGCUGACGUUCAAUAGGCUAGGAUGUAUUUCAGUUAACAUGGCCACAUUUAUCAAAUCUCUUAUUCUCUCCUUCGCCCCUCUGUCACUGUUCAUCCCUCCAUCCCUAUCUUCAAAGCCUGUUCAAACGCAGCAAGAGCAACAGCAACAUGGACAAACGAACAAUAAUGUACAAAAAAGAGAAUUUGAA
rnacentral:lncRNA from 1 species